CGAGGAGCUUCAGAAAUAACCACCAUUCAGCUUUGUUUACUGCAAAGAGCUCUGGAAGGAAACCAUCAAAUUAAGGAUAACAAAGUUGUACCCAAACUGGCUGAGUGAACAUGGCCAGCAGCGUUUCAACAUCUGUGCUACUGCACAUAACCCCGGCGGUGAUUCACCGGCUGCUCCUGCUGCCUUCUCCACGCUGUCUGUAAGUAUGCACAAAUAUGAAACACCUCUGCAAAGGCUCUUCCAGCUUGGAGACCUUCUUCUGCCACAAAAAAACCCCUGCUGUUGAUUCAGCUACAAAUG
rnacentral:lncRNA from 12 species